GCUCCUUCAAUAUUAAAAUUUUCAGAAUAAUCUAUAAUGUCUUGAAUUUGACGCACAUUGAAUCCUAUAUAGCGAUUUUUUAUGUAUCCAUUUUGGUCUCUAUGGAUUAUUAAUGGUAAGAUUUUUUUAAGUCUUUGUGCUAAAGUAUAUGUUAUUAAUUUCACAUCUAUAUUUAAUAAAGUUAUUGGACGGUAAUUAUCCAGGGACAAAGGGUCAUUUUUUGUAUAAAAUUAAUGAUAUAUCCAAAUCUUUUGGGUAUUAGAUAAAGAUUCUUUAUCAUAACAAGUAUUAGAGACUUUCAAA
rnacentral:lncRNA from 1 species